UCUUGGAAGUCAGAGAGAAAUGUAGAAGUAAAAAGGUUUAGGCGAUUAUAGAGUGCAUUUCCCGCUCAACUGUACAACAGCAGCGUCACAAAUAUUGGAGGAAAGAGAUUUACAAGGCCAGAAUUAACUGAUCUAAGGAAUAAAAGCGAGAAUAUGUGGCACUGCAAACUGGAAUUCCAGCGUUCUCUACAGGCUUUGGAACAUUGAAAACGAAACGUAAAGCGCCGGAAGAAUUUCACGUUUUAACAUAUCUCCGCAGAGGUAUUAAGGCAGAGCUAGACCAGAUCUCGAGUUGGUCGACUCAGCCAACAGCAUUGUGGGCAGGACGGACUGGGAGCUCGCUGGUUGCCCACUGUCAGACGUACGGCCAUCCGAGCUUCUGUUACUUACUUGUCAAGAGCCUGCGAGUUGCUGGCGCGCUCGGCUGGCAUUGGUGUGCUACCCAGUCAGGAAAAGCGAAAACAAAAACAGAGGAAAUGUUCGCUGCUGUGAGUCAGUUCCUGAUCUCAUUUUCCUCACUCAUAGCUGCUACUAUGAAAUCACAAGCAAAAAUACCUAGUUAUUUCAUGAGAUACAUGUGAUAAUAAUGAAGAUCAGGAAGAAGGCAGAAGAAUGGUGUUAAAAAACAUACCAGCCAUGAUCGAAGAUGGAGUAGACUUGAUGGGUCAAAUGGCCUAAUUUAGUUCCUACAUACUAUGGUCUUGUGUGUUGGUUCCGAUACUCUGAUGUAAUGUAUUCAUAGAGGGAUUUGAUCAUGUGGCACCUGACGCAAAAUGCUUGACUACAUGAUAUUUGCUCACUGUUUGCAAAUGUUUUAGUGUUUACCUUAGUUGAGUGUCUAAGUAUUACCUGGCCCUAAGUAAAAUAUUUGGCCUUGUUUAUGAUGAGAUAACUAACAUAAUUUUUAAAUCAAGGCACGUUAAAUAAUAGAAAGAUUUCAGAAUAAGUAGACUUUUUAAAAAAAUUCAUGAUUGUAAUAAUGGUCUCAUUGAUGAGGCAGCAUUUAUUGCCCAUCCCUAACUGCCCAGAGAGCAGUUCAGAAUCAACCACAUUGCUGUGAAGUCACAUGUACGCCAGACCAGAUAAGGAUGGCAGUUUACUUCCCUAAAGGGACAUUAGUAAACUAGAUGGGUUUUUCCUGACAAUCUGCAAUAAAUUCAGGGUCAUCAUUAGAUUCUUAAUUCCAGAUAUUUUCAUUAAAUACAAAUUCCACCAUCUGCUGUGGCAGGAUUCAAACCAACAUCCCCAGAAUGUUGUCUGGGUCUCUGGUUUAACACACUAGCGGUAAUGCUACUUGGUCAUUACCUCCCCACAAGACGAUGAAUAAAUAAAUUAAUACAAGACAACUAUUUACUUCUGGGCGAGGUGGAUGGAGACUGUGGGCAUCUAGUUGCUCACUAAUAAUGUGAUAGUACCAGGUCCUCCAAUUACCAAUUGAGAAUUGAGACAGGUUGAAAGCAAUUUUCACCUUGAUUUAUGGUCUUCUGAAAAACAUUAACAAAAUAUGAAGGAAAGGUAGCAACUAAUUUGGAUUUUCAAUUCUGGUAAUUGUAUUACUGUGUAUUCCUUAAAAUUUCUUUUAGCGAAAGGUACAAUCCUUGCCCUUUCUCACAAUAAGCUUCUAAUCUCCCAUUAUUAUAAAAUUUACUGGUGUGAUCUCCUCCGUAAUUUAUCUGGUCUAAGGCUUUGCUUUAACAAAGGCUUUUAGGAGCAAAUUCAGCAUUCCAGCCAAACUCUGCAUGAAUAUUUUUUAAAAACACCCUUUUAAUUUUUUUUUUCAAUUGCCUUAAAUUGAUGUCCAUUUUUGCUGCUUUGAUAACUAACGGAAAUAAUCCAUGAUUGUCUUUCCAAAGCUGUAACACCACAUUUCUGGUAACAUUCUGAAAAAUCUUCACUACACUUUGUCUAUUAAUUGUCCACAUUUCAUGGAAUGAGAUCUUUAAAAUUUUUGUAGUACUCCAAUUAUAUUCUGGCUAAUUCAUUAAAAGACAUUAGUUUUUUUGUCUUUGUAUUCUACUCACACCAACAGUUCAACUUGCAUUUUCAAUCGCCUUUAUCUAGUUUAUGCUGCCAUUUUAAUGACCUUUAUGUCUUGACAUCAAAGUCCUUCUCCAAUUCUACCUAAAACGUUAUUUAACGUUAUUGUCUAUUGCUUUCAAAAUUCAUACUAUGAUUAAAAUCUGCAAUUAACAGUAUUAAUACUCCACAUGAAGUUUGUUUUAUAACAACUCCUUGUGUUCUAAAAUAAACUUUAUAGGGAUUGGCCCAAGUAAAGUGUGAGGAUAAACUGUUCCAAUAUCACAGAGUGUUUCUUCCUGUAAUACAUCAUCAUGCAAUGCACAGUGAAUUAUUCUGUUACUUCAGUGAAGUUGUGCUUAAUCUUGACUAUUCCUUUAAGGUCUCACAGAAUAAAUGGGGUAAAUAUGAACAUCUGUGUAGCCAUGUUUCCAACAACAUUAUUGGAAGACUAGUGAAUUUUCCACCCAACAAUCAUAUGCCCAAAUCGAUACUGUCAUUACCACUUUAACCCCUAAACUCCAGGCGUAUCGAGUCAACAUGCCAGACAUAGUAGUGCACCAUUCCCCCAUUGAAUCCAGGAUGGUUAUACCUAUUAAUGAACCUCUUCCCGCAUUAUCCUUUUCCCUUCCAUUAUCUAACAUUACUGUGCCCUUACAGAUUAAGUUGCACACAUCACAAUUAUUAUACCAUCUGCAUCCUAGCAUGUUGCCUCCAAUCCCUACAAAUGAGUUCCUGUUUCCCUAUCACUGCAGUGGCCCCAAUAACCCCUUCUGUCCCCCAACCAUAAAUUUCAAUGAACAGACUCCCAUAACUGCCUGUGGCCCACACCCUUCACUGACUUAGAUGGACAUUGAGAUGAUGACAACUUUCUUCAGCCAUAGACCUGUGCCAUAGGCUCUGCCACAGAAACUGGUUGCGGCUAAAACAGUGAAUGUAUUUAAGAAGAAGUUAAAUCUUCUUAGGGAUGAAAGGAUCAAAGGAAAUGGAGACAUCUGGGGAGCAGAUAUUGAGUUGGAUGAUCAGCCAUGAUGAUUUGAAAGUUGGAGCAAGCUUGAACCAGCUUAUUCCUACUCCUAUGUUUCUAUGACAGCCAUAAUUAAUGAGUGACCAGACUCCUGAGUGAUAUCUGUGGAGCUUCCCAACUGACUUACCAUCAUUCCUCAGACCAGACCUGCAGAACCAACCAUGUCAAACUCCCAGACUGUAAUCAGACAGAUGCACUGAUGUCCCAAGAGCAAAAUAAUCUGAGCCAUUAAAGGUGGUGUUGGAAAAUAUUUGUACAAUUUCAAAUUUUUUUGGGAAGGGCUUUUAGAGUUACUGAACCAAAGUAAGUAGAUGUAGUUAAGGAUAAAUCAGCCAAGAUCUAAUGGAAUGGAGAACAGACUUAAAGAAUUGAGUUGUUUACUCAUUUUUAUAUUGCAUCAGAAAUGGAAAACAGCAAAAAUCAUUAAUAUUGUACGUACAGAAAUAGAAAUUAAAGUCUAUUUAGGAUGUGACAAAACAAAUUUGAAAAGGAAGAUCAAAACUAGACAAAAGUCAGAAGUCAUAUCUGUCACCUACAAUUAUAAGAAAGAAAUUACUCAUUUUAAGAGCUAAAUGAUGGACAAAGUACAUCUGAGACAGUGAAAAUACAUUAAAAAGAAAGUAGUGGAAUUAAAAUAUCCUGAAAAUACAUUGCUUUUCUGAUUUAUUCUAACCCUUCCAGAUGCCCGAGGAAGGUACAAUAUGAUACUACUGGAAGGUACUAUAUGAUUUUCCUAGCCAAUAACCAACAAUUUUAGAAAUCGCUAGAAUUGAGGCACAAUUUUAAAAUAAAUUGAAAGGGGGCUCUUACAAAGAACUUUGAAUAUUUUUUCCCUAGGAGGUGGAAAGGGAGACAAGGAAGAUCGUACUCCCAAGAAUGACAUUUUCCUGUCAGACAAUAUAUCCCCUUCAGUGGGUGUGCAUCUUGGAUUUGCUCCCUAAGGAGCAGAUGCCUGCAUCCGAGUCAACCAAAUCUAGAAGGGUCAUGAUUGACAAAUAUAUUCGAUUCUAUCACCUUUGACAAUUUCAUCUCUUUCCAACUUUUUAAAUGUUUUGUUCAUUGACUAUUAAACUCCUUAACUGUUUCUUUGUGAUUAGUUUUCGGAGAUUUGAUUCCCAUUUUUGCCUUUGGCUGUCAACUGCCCCCUAAUUUUAUUUCAUCCCUACAUUCCAGAUUCCUGUUCUUAUUUAGGACCAAUGUCAGGAAUGUU